AGGGCACUAACUUGAGAAUUUAUUUCUGAAAAACAAAGUUUUCUUUUCAGAUGAAAUGGGAUAUGAAACAUUUAUAGAGGGUCUAAUGCAUGCCAGAUACUUUACACAGAUUGUUUUAUUGAAUCCUUAUAACCACCCUAUAAAUAGCCAUUAUUUUCAUUUACUGAUAAGAAAACUGAGACUCAAAGAUUUUCAAAAACUUAUCUAAGAUCAUGCACCUAAAAUGUGGAAGAGCCACAUAAACCCCAUAGAUUUUCUGAAUCCAAAGUCCACAAUCCAUCCUGAACAGUGCUUGGAUGCCAAUUCCUCAAGUUUUAUCUGAAGAAUUAUUUGUGUUCUAUGUAAUACCCCACCUAUAUCUAAGAAGAUCUGAAAUAGCUACUCCUAUAAACAUCUUGCCACCAGCUACCUAGUCAUGCCCCUCAAUGUUGAAGAUAAUGAAAAUGCUGGGACUUUUCCCAAAUGCAUAGGAAGGUGGGAAAUCCAGGUCAGACCCAGACUCCCAAGUUCUUUUAACAGUGCUGUCUACACCAAGGCUAGCAUCCUGGCUGUGAAAUCCACAGUCCCCCAUUAAACGGCUCAGGGAUACCCAGAAUGAGGGUCAGCCAACCGAGAUACAAUUUAAGGAGAGCCAAAAAUCUCCAUCAUCAAGAUAAAUAAUAUUUUCAUGCCACAUUUGUUUUCUUAACUAUUAUGGAUACAUAAUAGUUGUACAUAUUUACAGAGUACGUGUGAUAUUUUACUAUUAAUAGAAG
rnacentral:lncRNA from 1 species